GACCCGUCUUGAAACACGGACCAAGGAGUGUAACACAUAUGCGAGUUUGCGGGUGCAAAAACCCAUAGGCGAAACGAAAGUGAGUAUAAGGUGUAAUACUUCCUAUACUGGGAGUUGCAGCAUCGACCAACCUUGAUCUUCUGUGAAGGGUUUGAGUAAUAGCAUAUUUGUUACGACCCGAAAGAUGGUGAACUAUACUUGAGCAGCCUGAAGCCUGAGGAAACUCAGGUGGAAGGGCGCAGCGGUACUGACGUGCAAAUCGUUCGUCAGACUUGAGUAUAGGGGCGAAAGACUAAUCGAACCAUCUAGUAGCUGGUUCCCUCUGAAAUUUCUCUCAGGAUAGCUGGAACAAAUCUAGCAGUUUUAUCAGGUAAAGCGAAUGAUUAGAGGACUCGGAGCUCAAAGAGCUUUGACCUAUUCUCAAACUUUAAAUUGGUAAGAACUAUAAGUUCUCUUAAUUGAACUGGUAGGCAGAAUGCAUUGUUCCAAGUGGGCUUAUCGUGGUAAGCAUGUUAAGCAAUGAGGGAUGAACCUAACGCUGAGAUAAGGCGCCAAAAUUCCCGCUCAUCAGAUACCAUAAAAGGUGUUGAUUCAUAUAGACAGCAGGACGGUGGCCAUGGAAGUCGGAAUCCGCUAAGGAGUGUGU
rnacentral:rRNA from 1 species